rnacentral:tRNA from 1 species
GGUUAUGAAGCUUAGUGAUAGAGUACUUGCCUAGUGUGCAGGAGGCCCUGGGUUUCAUCCCCAGCGCCACCA